rnacentral:rRNA from 1 species
UACAGAGGUGGCAAGCGUUGUUCGGAAUUACUGGGCGUAAAGGGCGCGUAGGCGGUUCCAUAAGUCCCGCGUGAAAUCCCCCGGCUCAACCGGGGAACUGCGCGGGAAACUGCGGGGCUUGAGUUCGGGAGAGGGAAGCGGAAUUCCGGGUGUAGCGGUGAAAUGCGUAGAUAUCCGGAGGAACACCGGUGGCGAAGGCGGCUUCCUGGACCGACACUGACACUCAGGUGCGACAGCGUGGGGAGCAAACAGGG